ACCUGGUUGGCUCAGUCAAUGGAACAUGAGACUCUUGAUCUUGGAGCUGUGAGUUCAAACCCCACACUGGGUG
rnacentral:tRNA from 1 species